rnacentral:tRNA from 1 species
AUUUUAAUAGCUUAUAUAGAGCAUAAUAUUGAAGAUAUUAAGGAGAUUUAAAAUCUUAAAAUA